CGAGUUGGCCGGGCGGCCGCGGCAUCCAGGUUCGCCUGGACGUCGAGGAAAGUCCGGACUUCACAGAGCAGGGUGAUUGCCAACGGCAAUCCGAGGUGACUCGCGGGAAAGUGCCACAGAAAACAGACCGCCACCCCCGGGUGGUAAGGGUGAAACGGUGCGGUAAGAGCGCACCAGCAUUCCGGGUGACCGGAGUGGCUAGGCAAACCCCACCCGAAGCAAGGCCAAGAAGGCCGCAACCUCGUUGUGGCUGCGCAGACGUUCGAGGGCUGCUCGCCCGAGCCUGCGGGUAGGCCGCUCGAGGCACCCGGUGACGGUGUGUCCAGAUGGAUGGUCGCCGCCGUGCCGUCAGUCAUGACGGCACGGAACAGAAUCCGGCUUACAGGCCAACUCGUCCG
rnacentral:RNase_P_RNA from 2 species